rnacentral:tRNA from 2 species
GCGCCUGUAGCUCAGUGGAUUAGAGCGCGUCCUUGCGGAGGAUGAGGUCGGAGGUUCGAAUCCUCUCAGGCGCACCA